rnacentral:rRNA from 1 species
AAGACCUUGCGCUUUUGGAGCGGCCGAUGUCUGAUUAGCUAGUUGGUAGGGUAAUGGCCUACCAAAGCUUCGAUCAGUAGCUGGUCUGAGAGGACGACCAGCCACACUGGGACUGAGACACGGCCCAGACUCCUACGGGAGGCAGCAGUGGGGAAUUUUGGACAAUGGGCGCAAGCCUGAUCCAGCCAUGCCGCGUGAGUGAAGAAGGCCUUCGGGUUGUAAAGCUCUUUCAGCCGGGAAGAAAAGGUUACGACGAAUAAUCGUAGCUCAUGACGGUACCGGAAGAAGAAGCACCGGCUAACUACGUGCCAGCAGCCGCGGUAAUACGUAGGGUGCGAGCGUUAAUCGGAAUUACUGGGCGUAAAGGGUGCGCAGGCGGUUUUGUAAGUCAGAUGUGAAAUCCCCGGGCUUAACCUGGGAACU